AGUGAACGCUGGCGGCAGGCCUAACACAUGCAAGUCGAACGGAAGCACAGUGCUUGCUUGUGGUUACGGGGGGGGACGGGCGGGCGGGUCAGGAGAAUAUCCUAAUCUACGUUUUCGUAGGGCAUAACGUAGGCGAUCUUACGCCAUUACCGCAUACGACGUACGGGGGAGAGCUUGGGACCUUAGGCCCUCGCGCGAUUGGAGGACGGAUUAGCUAGUUGGUUGGGUGAAGGGCUACCAAGGCGACGAUCCGUAGAUGGUCUGAGAGGAUGAUCAGCCACACUGGAACUGAGACACGGUCCAGACUCCUACGGGAGGCAGCAGUGGGGAAUAUUGGACAAUGGGCGAAAGCCUGAUCCAGCCAUGCCGCGUGUGUGAAGAAGGCCUUCGGGUUGUAAAGCCCUUUUGUUGGGGAAGAAAAGCAGUAGGUUAAUACCUCGCUGUUUUGACGGUACCAAAAGAAUAAGCACCGGCUAACUUCGUG
rnacentral:rRNA from 1 species